CGGGGUCGCUCACCGAAGAGGGAGUCGGCCAGCCAAGCCUCCAGGUAUCACUAAAGCAUCAUUUCUUCCCCUUCCCACAGGAAAUCAUUGUCCUGAAGCUGAUGCAAUGGAUCAUCAUUGUGACCACUAUGACAAAAACGAAAACAAUUAACAAUUAAUGUAAGAUGCUUUGGGACCAGGAAUCCUAAUUGUCCCACCCAGGCCAAGAGAACAAAUUCCGUAGACCAUGAGGAUCAAUCUUAGAGAGGCAAAUAACUUUUUCCUUCAGGCGUUAUAUAGCUUAUUCCACCUUGUCUGUUUCAUUGAUCCAAGCACAUCAACAAGGAUUAGCAACGGCACAGAUGCCGCCAAGAAUAGUCAAUAAGAAAUCUAGAGCAAUGCAGUUGUCCAUCACUACUCAUGCCAAUGAGUUGAGACUGAUCUUUACUCCAUCUAGGG